rnacentral:lncRNA from 1 species
GUUGGACAUUGAAGGGUGAAGAGGGCGGAGAAGAAUUUUAUUGAGCAAGGGAACAGCAAUUAGCGGAGAAGGGACUCUGGGGGGUGGUCGCCCACCCCCUUAGUCGGAUGGUUUUUUCCUCCCCUCGUGGCUGGGUCACGAGCUUUUUAUAGGCUUAGAAUAGGGGAGGGGCAGGUCAUAGGUAGUAUUGGAAAAGGCAACGCUUGAUCGGUUAAAACGCAUUAUUUAGAAAUAAUUAAUCAGGAAAGAGCGGGGGCAAAAAGGAACAGAAAUACUCAGCCUGUGUCGCGGGUUUCAUCUGGGACCAGCAGUUCAGUGUUUUUGGCUGGAAGGUGGGGUUUCACCCCAUCCUCCUGGGCAUUUAGCAGCCUCCAGCCGCUCUCACUUUCGUGUGCCAUGGACGAGAUGAUAAACUGAGAUUGUAGAGGAGUUGCAGUUCUUGGCAGUGACCAGGUCUAGAGAACGACCACUGAGGCUUCAUUUCUGAAUAUGGAUGUCCCACUGCCAGCUUUGGGAAGCCUUCACCAUCUCUGCCUAUACAGAUGGACACACUCCCUGCCUGUGCUGCUGCUAGACUGUGCUUACACUUCCAUCACAGAAUUUAUUUGAUUGGGUUAUCAUGGCUUCUCUGCUGGAAUGGAAGCUACUUGGGAGCCUGGGGAAAUGCUUGGCUCAAAGCGUAAGUAUGUGAAGAAUACAUGAAUGAAUGAAUGACCCUGUCAGCUCUAAACAUCCUAUAAG